rnacentral:pre_miRNA from 1 species
AUAUGCCUGGCUCCCUGUAUGCCGCUCGCAUGGCUGCCAACCCACCAUGAAAGAGAGCUUUCGUUGUUGGCCGCUGCGGACGGCGUGCGAGGUGCCAAGCAUGG